UACGAAGGGGGCUAGCGUUGUUCAGAAUUACUGGGCGUAAAGGGCGCGUAGGCGGUCCCUCAAGUCAGGCGUGAAAGCCCCGGGCUCAACCUGGGAACUGCGCUUGAGACUGGUGGGCUCGAGUUCGGGAGAGGAUGGUGGAAUUCCCAGUGUAGAGGUGAAAUUCGUAGAUAUUGGGAAGAACACCGAUGGCGAAGGCAGCCAUCUGGACCGACACUGACGCUGAGGCGCGAAAGCGUGGGGAGCAAACAGG
rnacentral:rRNA from 1 species